GACGAACGCUGGCGGCGUGCUUAACACAUGCCAGUCGAACGGAAAGGCCCUGCUUUUGUGGGGUGCUCGAGUGGCGAACGGGUGAGUAACACGUGAGUAACCUGCCCUUGACUUUGGGAUAACUUCAGGAAACUGGGGCUAAUACCGGAUAGGAGCUCCUGCUGCAUGGUGGGGGUUGGAAUGUUUCGGCGGUUGGGGAUGGACUCGCGGCUUAUCAGCUUGUUGGUGGGGUAGUGGCUUACCAAGGCUUUGACGGGUAGCCGGCCUGAGAGGGUGACCGGCCACAUUGGGACUGAGAUACGGCCCAGACUCCUACGGGAGGCAGCAGUGGGGAAUAUUGCACAAUGGGCGGAAGCCUGAUGCAGCAACGCCGCGUGCGGGAUGACGGCCUUCGGGUUGUAAACCGCUUUCGCCUGUGACGAAGCGUGAGUGACGGUAAUGGGUAAAGAAGCACCGGCUAACUACGUG
rnacentral:rRNA from 1 species